UACAGAGGGUGCAAGCGUUGUCCGGAAUUAUUGGGCGUAAAGAGCUCGUAGGCGGUUUGUCGCGUCGAAUGUGAAAACUCGAGGCUCAACCCCGGACUUGCGGUGGGUACGGGCAGACUAGAGUGUGGUAGGGGAGACUGGAAUUCCUGGUGUAGCGGUGAAAUGCGCAGAUAUCAGGAGGAACACCGAUGGCGAAGGCAGGUCUCUGGGCCACUACUGACGCUGAGAAGCGAAAGCGUGGGGAGCGAACAGG
rnacentral:rRNA from 1 species